rnacentral:rRNA from 1 species
UACAGAGGGGGCAAGCGUUGUCCGGAAUUACUGGGCGUACAGCGCGCGCAGGCGGUUUCUUAAGUCUGAUGUGAAAGCCCACGGCUCAACCGUGGAGGGUCAUUGGAAACUGGGGAACUUGAGUGCAGAAGAGAAAAGCGGAAUUCCACGUGUAGCGGUGAAAUGCGUAGAGAUGUGGAGGAACACCAGUGGCGAAGGCGGCUUUUUGGUCUGUAACUGACGCUGAGGCGCGAAAGCGUGGGGAGCAAACAGG